UCAGGGGCUUCGGGAAGCAAGGCUACCAAUGUCAAAUUUGUAGCUUCGUCGUCCACAAAAGAUGUCACGUGUUCGUGAACUUUAAGUGUCCGGGAGCAGAUAAGGGAGUGGACACCGAUGAUAUUCGAACGAAACAUCAUUUUCUGGUGCACACCUACACAAGUCCAACAUUUUGUGACCACUGUGGUUCCUUGCUGUACGGGAUAAUCCAUCAAGGACUUAAUUGUAAAG